GACGUGAGCCACUGCACCUGGCCUAUUUCUUUCCCUUUCUGUGUCUUUUCAAUUUUUUUUAAAACAAAAAGAGCAGUCUCUUUGAUCCAGAGCUUCACGGGAGGGUGAGACUGUGGCUCCCAGGGUCCUGCGAGAAAAGCAAGUUGAUUGAAGGAAAAAUCUGUGGUCCGGGGAGAUGUUCCAAAUCCUGGAGGUGGAGAGGAAUGAAUGACGUUUGUGGCUUGCAGAUCAACUCCCCUCAGCGGGCGUGACGUCAUUGCAGCCAAAAUUGUCCUCCACGCACUGCUACGACAUCCACCUGCCUCUGGACCUCACCCAGGGACGCUGCUAUGAUCACUGAGCCAUUCAGCAAUAUUCCAGCCCUUUCUCCCUCC